GCAGCCGUCAUGUAGCUGUAGACACCAUCAUCUUAUAUAUAUAUAUAUUUUUUUUCUUACAUCUUUUCAACUUUUGAUUCUUAUUCGGCAAAUUAUUUUGUUUGAUCGUAGUUUGUAUUCGGAAUGGAUAUGGUGGAGGGGAUCUCAUGGUUAUGGUGGAGGGGAUCUCAUGGAGAUGGUCUAAUCUCUUGGUUUUGAUCGUGAUUUCUCUGUUUAAAUCGAACGGUAUAAUUUAUUUAUAAUUCGCUUGGGCAUAAACCUUCUUUAAAUAUGUCAGCGAAUUUCUUUGGUACGCAACCUUAAACUCCACAACCCUUUUCUAAGGAAUAUAUUUCGAGUUUGUUCCAAACAACCAACUUGAUUUCUAUCUUGCUACGGGAAAGCAAGCUGCAAACGACGACGAUGACAUUUUUGACAAGAAAGAUGAGGAUGACGCUGAGUAUUAAGUAUUAUCGACUUGUUUUCGGAUGUUAUUUUAAGACCUUAUCGCACAGAUACGUUUUAUGCGAUUUUAGUAUGUUAAGUGUUAUUUUAGUAUGUUAAGUGUUAUGUUUAUUUAGUUUGUUUGUGUUGCGUAAAACUAGAAAAUUGUCAGGUUUGUAUAUAACCGAAAAUAUUGAAAAUGCAUAUACAUAUUAAAUUGAAUGAAGUCAUAUGUUGUUGGAAUCAAA